UCGGGCUGGUCACCCCAGCCUGAUCACCUCUACUCCGGUACCUGGUACGGCCGGAGAG
rnacentral:ncRNA from 1 species